GGAUUAGGCAUGCAAGUCGAACGCGAAAGGGGCUUCGGCCCCGAGUAGAGUGGCGAACGGGCGAGUAAUGCGUUUCUAACGUACCUUGAGGUCGGGGAUAGCCCGGGGAAACCCGGAUUAAUACCCGAUGAUCCCAGCGGGUCGCAUGUCCUGCUGGGCAAAGCUCCGGCGCCUUGAGAUCGGGAAACGUCCUAUCAGCUAGUUGGUAGGGUAACGGCCUACCAAGGCGAAGACGGGUAGCGGGUGUGAGAGCACGGCCCGCCGCAUCGGGACUGAGACACUGCCCGGACUCCUACGGGAGGCUGCAGCAACGAAUAUUCCGCAAUGGGCGCAAGCCUGACGGAGCAAUGCCGCGUGCAGGAUGAAGCCCCUCGGGGUGUAAACUGCUGUCAGGGUCUAGAAACACUGAUCGGACCCAGAGGAAGGGCCGGCUAACUCUGUGCCAGCAGCCGCGGUAAUACAGAGGGCCCGAGCGUUAAUCGGAAUCACUGGGCUUAAAGGGUGCGCAGGCGGGCCCGCAAGCACCUUGUGAAAUCCCACGGCUCAACCGUGGAAUUGCUUGGUGGACUGCGGGUCUUGAGCCCGGCAGAGGUCGUCGGAACUCUAGGUGGAGCGGUGAAAUGCGUAGAUAUCUAGAGGAACGCCAAAGGUGAAGACAGGCGACUGGGCCGGCGCUGACGCUCAGGCACGAAAGCGUGGGGAGCGAACGGGAUUAGAUACCCCGGUAGUCCACGCCCUAAACGAUGGGCACUAAGUAGAGGGGUU
rnacentral:rRNA from 1 species